rnacentral:tRNA from 1 species
GUCCCCGUAAUAUACCUAAUAUACUGGUCUUGUAAAUCAGAAACGGAGAAAUGCUCUCCCUGGGACA